rnacentral:siRNA from 1 species
GAUCUGCACUUAAUUCAUGGCGAC